CGAGCUGCCGAGCGCGCGAGGACACGCCGGCACUAAGCCACCCACAGAACAUGCGGUUCUUACGCAAACGCGAGUCCGGGGUUGCGAGUGCUGGUGGAGGCCAGGGCCACCAAGACGCAUCCCACAGUGCAGAGGCUAGGCCCCAGGGGACAAUGAUCUGGCCGAAACUGGGCAGCGGCACAACUGCGAGGACCGCAGACUUGGUGCAGGGAGACUCCGGUGGUUUCCCCAUCUCUCCUCCCCUCCCCCCCGGGGGAGCCCUCCAGCCGAGGCCGGUGCCAUUCUGCU